UCCACGCCCUAAACGAUGAAUACUAGAUAUCGGCGGUAACCAAUCCGUCGGUGUCACAGCUAACGCGUUAAGUAUUCCGCCUGGGGACUACGACCGCAAGGUUAAAACUCAAAGGAAUUGACGGGGACCCGCACAAGCGGUGGAGCAUGUGGUUCAAUUCGAUGCAACGCGAAGAACCUUACCUGGACUUGACAUGCUAGUGCUACCGGUGGAAAC
rnacentral:rRNA from 1 species